GACAGAGGGUGCAAACGUUGCUCGGAAUUACUGGGCGUAAAGCGCGUGUAGGCGGCUUCGCACGUCCGAUGUGAAAGCCCAGGGCUCAACCCUGGAAGUGCAUUGGAUACGACGGAGCUGGAGUGCUGAAGAGGAGAGCGGAACUCCCGGUGUAGAGGUGAAAUUCGUAGAUAUCGGGAAGAACACCAGUGGCGAAGGCGGCUCUCUGGGCAGACACUGACGCUGAGACGCGAAAGCGUGGGGAGCAAACAGGAUUAGAUACCCUGGUAGUCCACGCUGUAAACGAUGAGAACUGGGUGUUGCGGGUAUUGACCCCCGCGGUGCCGAAGCCAACGCGUUAAGUUCUCCGCCUGGGAAGUACGGCCGCAAGGCUAAA
rnacentral:rRNA from 1 species